rnacentral:rRNA from 1 species
GUGAACGCUGGCGGUAGGCCUAACCCAUGCCAGUCGAACGGCAGCACAGUAAGAGCUUGCUCUUACGGGUGGCGAGUGGCGGACGGGUGAGGAAUACAUCGGAAUCUACUUUUUCGUGGGGGAUAACGUAGGGAAACUUACGCUAAUACCGCAUACGACCUACGGGUGAAAGCAGGGGAUCUUCGGACCUUGCGCGAUUGAAUGAGCCGAUGUCGGAUUAGCUAGUUGGCGGGGUAAAGGCCCACCAAGGCGACGAUCCGUAGCUGGUCUGAGAGGAUGAUCAGCCACACUGGAACUGAGACACGGUCCAGACUCCUACGGGAGGCAGCAGUGGGGAAUAUUGGACAAUGGGCGCAAGCCUGAUCCAGCCAUACCGCGUGGGUGAAGAAGGCCUUCGGGUUGUAAAGCCCUUUUGUUGGGAAAGAAAAGCAGCAGGUUAAUACCCCGCUGUUCUGACGGUACCCAAAGAAUAAGCACCGGCUAACUUCGUGC